rnacentral:rRNA from 1 species
UGGGGAAUUUUGGACAAUGGGGGCAACCCUGAUCCAGCCAUGCCGCGUGUGUGAAGAAGGCCUUCGGGUUGUAAAGCACUUUCGGCCGGAACGAAAUCGCGUGGGCUAACACCCCGCGUGGAUGACGGUACCGGAAGAAGAAGCACCGGCUAACUACGUGCCAGCAGCCGCGGUAAUACGUAGGGUGCGAGCGUUAAUCGGAAUUACUGGGCGUAAAGUGUGCGCAGGUGGCCGCGCAAGUCGAGUGUGAAAGCCCCGGGCUUAACUUGGGAAUUGCGCUCGAAACUACGUGGCUAGAGUGUGGCAGAGGGAGGUGGAAUUCCACGUGUAGCGGUGAAAUGCGUAGAGAUGUGGAGGAACACCAAUGGGCGAAGGCAGCCUCCUGGGCCAACACUGACACUCAUGCACGAAAGCGUGGGGAGCAAACAGGAUUAGAUACCCAGGUAGUCCACGCCCUAAACGACUGAUGACUAGUUGUUGGGGGAGUUAAA